AUUGAACGCUGGCGGCAGGCCUAACACAUGCAAGUCGAGCGAGCGGAGGACGGGUGAGUAAUGUCUGGGAAACUGCCUGAUGGAGGGGGAUAAAUACUGGAAACGGUAGCUAAUACCGCAUACCAUAAGAUGUGCCAAUAUGGGAGUAGCUAGUAGGUGGGGUAACGGCGCACCUAGGCGACGAUCCCUAGCUGGUCUGAGAGGAUGACCAGACACACUGGAACGGAGACACGGUCCAGCCUCCUACGGGAGGCAGCAGUGGGGAAUAUGUCACAAUGGGCGCAAGCCUGAUGCAGCCAUGCCGCGUGUGUGAAGAAGGCCUUCGGGUUGUAAAGCACUUUCAGCGGGGAGGCGUUACCCGCAGAAGAAGCACCGGCUAACUCCGUGCCAGCCGCCGCGGUAAUAC
rnacentral:rRNA from 1 species